AAAUAUCAGUUGCAAAUUUUGCAACUGAUAUACAAACGCAACUUGCAAUCAAUUGCCACUUUCUGUUGCAAGAAACUAGCUAGCAAUCAAAUGCAAGUUGCAACUGAUUUGCAACUGAUCGGCGUUAUUUUGUAUUUGUGAAAACGACUGGAUGGCCGAGCCUAGCAAAUUUCUCAAUUUUAAGUGAGCACUUGUUGUCUGCACAGCUGAUUCCUUUGACUGUGCAAUCAUUUUGAUUCUGAGCAGGGAAUAGGGGCAGAGAGACUUGUCGCAGUACUAAAUCAUUGCCUUCAUUGAGUAUGUGCUUGAAAAAAAAAUGUCCUGGAGAGAAAAGACCACCACAAGAGAAGGGAUAAAGACCAAGGGCUUCAUGGAGAGAGAUCAUGGGAUGCCUCGAGGUUCCAAGUCUUCAUGUUCUGCCCCUUACCUCAAAGCAAUGGCCUCUUGUGCCUAACAAUAUAGGAGCAAAGCACAAUAAACUGGUGCCUGUACAUGUAAUGCAAAGGAAGGGCAGUGUGAGAAGCUCAUGGUGAUAUGGCAGACACAACAAGGACUUUGCUGUCUAAAACUCAGAGGCAAGAUGACAGUGUCUGAACCGGCUUAUCAGAAUUGGUAACAUUGAUGCAAGCGGACUUGUCUGUAGGAGUUGCUGAAGAGGAGCAGUCAGCAUAAGUGGCAUGUGACUCCAAAACAACAUGGGAACCUCUCCCAAGUUCAUCUCUAUCCACAAAGGCUCUUCAGGAAUCAAGAUGUGAUGGUGGAGGUAGAGAAGGAGUUUGUGACCCUCCUGAUCCUGAUUAAUUUUAUAAGGAACUUUAUCCGAAAAGAACCUCACUGAUCCUCAUAGUUCCACGCUUCAAGCUGCCCCCCCCCCCCCUGUUUCUGUAAACACUAACAAUUGAGGGAUCAAAUGAAUUAAAAUCCACACUUGAUUAGUGAUUUCAAAUGAA